rnacentral:rRNA from 1 species
AGGAAAAGAAACUAACCAGGAUUCCCCUAGUAACUGCGAGUGAAGCGGGAAAAGCUCAAAUUUAAAAUCUGGUGGUCUUAUGGCUGNCCGAGUUGUAAUCUAGAGAAGUGUUANCCGCGUUGGACCGUGUACAAGUCUCCUGGAAAGGAGCAUCAUAGAGGGUGAGAAUCCCGUCUUUGACACGGACUCCCAGGGCUUUGUGGUACACUCUCAAAGAGUCGAGUUGUUUGGGAAUGCAGCUCAAAAUGGGUGGUAAAUUCCAUCUAAAGCUAAAUAUUGGCGAGAGACCGAUAGCGAACAAGUACCGUGAGGGAAAGAUGAAAAGAACUUUGGAAAGAGAGUUAAACAGUACGUGAAAUUGCUGAAAGGGAAACGCUUGAAGUUAGUCGCGUUGGCUGGAAAUCAACCCUUUGGGUGUACUUUCUAGUCGACGGGUCAGCAUCAAUUUUGAUUGUUGGAUAAAGGCUUAGGGAAUGUGGCAUCUUCGGAUGUGUUAUAGCCCUAGGUUGCAUACAACAGUUGGGAUUGAGGAACUCAGCACGCCGAAAGGCCGGGUAUUUUACCACGUUCGUGCUUAGGAUGCUGGCAUAAUAGCUUUAAUCGACCCGUCUUGAAACACGGACCAAGGAGUCUAACAUGCCUGCGAGUAUUUGGGUGGAAAACCCGGAUGCGUAAUGAAAGUGAAAGUUGAGAACCCUGUCGUGGGGUGCAUCGACGCCCGGACUUGAUGUUUACUGACGGUUCCGCGGUAGAGCAUGUAUGUUGGGACCCGAAAGAUGGUGAACUAUGCCUGAAUAGGGUGAAGCCAGAGGAAACUCUGGUGGAGGCUCGUAGCGAUUCUGACGUGCAAAUCGAUCGUCAAAUUUGGGUAUAGGGGCGAAAGACUAAUCGAACCAUCUAGUAGCUGGUUCCUGCCGAAGUUUCCC